GGAGAGGAAAUAGAGCACAAAAAUAGGGGAUUUAUCUUCCAUCGAAAGGAAAAAGUCCAUUGAUCUUACAAACAAAAGAUUCCAUUAAUCUUACAAACAACAGAUAACAAUAUACAAAGAUGUUUAGGGUUCCAACGAAAUCUAAAGUUACUAAUUAACAGCAUAGCAACGAUAACAGCAUUGAUCUUCCACCGGCGUGGCUCAAUCAGUUCCGGGCCAUGACGCGGUGGCGACUUCAGUUCGUCUUGUUCUUGCCCCUCAAGGGUGUGGACGUUGCCAUCCCCAGGACAUGAUCCUUGACCUCAUUCAGGAUCUUCCACCGCUGCCUUCUGCCAAGGCAGAUGGGGCACGCGAAGGUGUUGUUGUUGGAGGUAUGCCCUAGAGGCAAUCAUAGAGAUGAUGAUAUUCCAUUUGUAUCCAUGAUUUGUAUAUUGUGUUCAUUGAAUAUCCAUUAAAGGCUACUUGAAUUGAUUUGCAAUUAUGUAAAUUGUAUGUGAAACUCUUUACUUGUAUGGUUAUUCUAAAAUUGUCCCUAGUCGGAGUUCAUGUGAGGACACACAUGAAUAUUAGACUAGCAUAUGUAUUAGUUGAUGACUAUGUUUCACAAGUCAUGGACAUGGAGAUGUUGAACUAAUAAUGUGGACACAUGUGGAGACAUGUGCUAGGACUGACCCAACACGAGAAGUAGUUAUCUCUUUAAACAACAUCUACGCUUUAUCCUUAGACAUGAGAUUGUCGCAUGUAUUCAAGAUGUCGAUCGACCUACUUAGGGGCUUGCGACACUUCCUCCCUGCACGUGUGGAUACCUUGGAGGUGUUGCGCCUGCAGCACUUGGACGAGCCGCCGACGAGCCACGACGAGCCACGAUGAGCCGACGACGAGCCGCGGCACGAGGGCGAUCUUGCUGCACGUGGACGAGCUGCUGAGGAGCUGCUGGACGUUGACGUGAUCGACUACGUACGACUACGUUGAUCGACUACGUACGACUACGUUGAUCGUCUUCACUGCAUCGACGCAAAUCUACAUCUUCCGCACCAGUAGUGCGUCGAGUGGUAAUCCCGUGAUCCUUAUACGACAGUUCUUCCUGGCUAUACGCGGUAGAAAAUUUUGAUUUGCGCUAGUGUAGCCUACCUCGUAUCCCAACAGUAGUAUCAGAGCCGUAGCUGUUUAGUUUUGGAUUCGGGAUGUGUGCAUAUGGAGAUAUGCGAGUUUUCAGUUUGAUCUAUGUCCUGGUUUCGUGUUCUUGCUGCAAUGGUAGUGUAACGACAUACUCCUACCGGUCGGUUUCCGCCAUCGGAGUUAAGUGAUACACGUAAAUCCAGUUGUAGUGAGCGAAGAUCAAUAUGAUUGGUCGAAUUGAAAUCCAGGGUCAUACGCAAGGCGCAUUAGAUGUGCAAUAGUAGAUGAGAUCUACUGCCGGGGUCGGGAUUUUUGCCGUAUGCGUAUGCUUCGGUAAAUCAGCCGUAACUUUUCGGUACGAUCUCGGAUCGGGGCGAAUUUUAUAUGAAAAUUGAUCUACAAAACAAGUUACACAUGAAAUUCAACGGAUUUGCCGUUUUUGGCGAAAUUAGAUUUCCCAAAUUCGGCUUGGAAGAUGGAGUUUCGGGCAUCCGAAGUUUGGAACGUUAGGACGCUUAACUCUAUUUUGCAGGAUAUAUGUAUCUUAUGAUCGGUAUGGCCCCUUUGUGUAUGUGAUGCAUAUGUGUAACUCAUUCGUGACUUGCGUGUCGCGCGUACGGCAACACGGCAGGAGCCAUAUGUGUUGUCACUUUAUUGUAUUUAAUGGUCUGCGUACCAAUCUGUGAUGAUCCAAGCAACUAUGUAAUCUUCAUUACUAGCUUCUUUACUAGCUAUUAAGUGUAAUAGCAUGUUCUAGUUCUUGGAGGACUCAUCACCAUGAGGAUGGCGCACAUGGAACAUGGAGAUGGAGAUCACCAUGGUGAACAGGUUCUAUGGAGAUGGAAAUCACCAUGUGAAAACGGACCAUACUGUGUCACAACUGUGUGAAUGCUGUUCUGUUUAUGUUUUACUUUCUGCAUGCUGUGAUGUUAGAAGUAGAACGAUUCCUCACAAAGUUUAAGUUAGUAUGCACUCCCAACUAAAACUUGCACCGUCCCAUGUCUUGUACAAUUAGUGGUGGGUCUAUGAAAUUAGGGUGCCACUAAUUUUCCUUGACUAGACAGGUUUGUGUCGGACACUUACACGCAUAAGGGUUGGUUUGCUUAACAAGGUUAUCUUAACGGUUAAGGACCUUGGGGCAUAAAGGUUGGGUGCGGAGACAUAAAGAUGUCACCCAACAACAGGAGUCAUAUGUGAUAUGAUUAGCAAGAGUUGCUUACCGAUCUACCUUGUUUGCUAGCGGUGAUGCUAAAGCUCACUAGUAGACUUGUUAGUUGUGGAUCCUGAAUCACUAAGUUUCAAUAGAGGGAUAUUGAUUUUAGUGGGAGUAGAUUCUGUUAAAAUAGUUUAAUGUGAUUUGCUCUAUCAUGGAUACGUUUGUCUUAGUGUAUUUUGCAUUACUUUUGUUGUAAAAUGGCACCUAGCAACACCACCACAUCGUUUGCUUUGCGUUCGGUCCUUCAGAAGGACAAGUUGAAUGGAACAAACUACUCGGAUUGGAUCCGUAACCUGAGAAUUGUUCUCAGGGCCGAUAAAAAGGAAGAUGUUCUAGACACCCCACUACCACCAGUACCUGCUGAUGAUGCAUCUGCUGCCGUUAAGGCUGCUUACAAGAAGGCAUUUGAUGCUAAUCUUGAGGUAAGCUGCCUUAUGCUUGCUUGCAUGGAACCUGAGCUACAGAUGCAGUUCGAAACAAAUCACGAGGCACACGAUAUGAUCGUGGCGCUCAAAGACAUGUUCCAGACACAGGCUAGGACUGAAAGGUUCAAUGUGUCCAAAGCCUUUCUGGAGUGCAAGCUAGCAGAAGGCGCAGCAGUAGGACCACAUGUAAUCAAGAUGGUUGGUUACACUCAGCGAUUGGAGAAGCUGGGCUUCCCAAUGGGCAAAGAGUUGGCCACUGACUUCAUUCUUUCAUCUCUUCCGCCUAGCUAUGGGAACUUCAUCUCGAACUACCAUAUGCAUGGGACGGAGAAGGGUCUGAAUGAACUGUGUGGUAUGCUCAAGAGAGCGGAGGUAGACAUUAAGAAAAACACUAGUACCAGCCAUGUGAUGGCUAUACAGAACAAGCCUAGCUUUAAGAAGAAGGGCAAUUCUUGGAAGAAGAAAGGCAAGGCUGGAACGUCCAAGCCAAACCCAGCGCCCAAGGUUAAAGCUGAACCUGGACCUGCUCCAGACAAAGAGUGCUUUUACUGUCAUGAACUUGGUUACUGGAAGAGAAACUGCAAGCAGUACCUAGCUUCGUUGAAGAAUGGCGGAAGUAAGAGUACUUCUACCUCAGGUACGCUUGUUGUUAAUGUUAUAGACAACAUAUUUCUCGCUGAUACAAUUAUUAAUUCUUAGGUAUUUGAUACUGGAUCGGUUGCUCAUAUUUGCAAUUCGAUGCAGGGAAUGAUAAGAAGUAGAAGCGUGGAAAGAGGAGAAGUUGAUUUCCGCGUGGGCAAUAAUGCAAGAGUUGCUGCGUUGACCGUCAGGACGAUGCAACUCCACCUCCCGUCAGGAUUUAUUAUGGAGUUGAAUAAUUGUUAUUUCGUUCCUAGUUUAAGUCGAAACAUUUUGUCUCAUUCAUGCUUAAUGAAGGAUGGUUAUUCAUUUGCGAGUGAAAAUAAUGGUUGUGUGAUCUCUAAGAAUGAUAUGUUUAUGGCUUUUGCACCCAUUGUGAAUGGAUUAUUUGUUUUAAAUCUUGAUGGUUCACCUAUCUGUAACGUAAGUGCUAAAAUGCCUCGAUCUAAUGAUUUGAGUCCUACCUACUUGUGACAUUGUCGUUUGGGUCAUAUAAGUGAAAAGCGCAUGAAGAAGCUCCAUUCUGAUGGACUUUUAACUUCGUUUGAUUUUGAAUCAUACGAGACAUGUGAGGCUUGCUUGCUAGGCAAGAUGACCAAGACGCCUUUCAUAGGAUUUCCUGAGAGAGCAGUAGACUUGUUGGAACUCGUACAUAGUGAUGUAUGCGGACAAAUGAGCACGACGGCUAGAGGAGGAUUCCAAUACUUCAUAACUUUCACUGAUGAUUUUAGUAGAUAUGGCUAUGUCUACUUGAUGAGGCACAAGUCUGAAACAUUUGAAAAGUUCAAGGAAUUUCAGAAUGAAGUUGAAAAUCCGUGGCAAGAAAAUUAUGGCCUUACGAUCUGAUCGUGGAGGCGAGUAUUUGAGCCACGAGUUUAGCAAUCAUCUAAAGAGUUGCGGAAUUGUUCCACAACUUACGCCGCCUGGAACACCUCAGAGAAACGGUGUGUCCGAGCGACGUAAUCGAACUUUGUUAGACAUGGUUCGAUCAAUGAUGAGCCAGUCGGACCUACCGUUGUCAUUUUGGGGAUACGCUCUAGAAACAGCAGCUUUCACACUUAAUAGGGUACCAUCUAAAUCCGUAGUUAAGACACCAUAUGAAAUAUGGACUGGAAAGGUUCCUAGUUUGUCUUUUCUAAAGAUUUGGGGAUGUGAAGUGUUUGUCAAGCGAUUUCAGUCGAACAAGAUCACACCCAAGUCGGAUAAGUGCAUUUUCGUGGGAUAUCCAAAGGAAACUUUGGGAUAUUAUUUCUACAACGGAUCAGAAGGCAAAUUGUUUGUCGCUUGGAACGGGGUUUUCCUAGAGAAAGAGUUUCUCAAAGGAGAGAAGAAGUUCAAGAUGAGCCGAUCGGGCAAGAAUCAAUGAAUGAUGCUAUUGUAGCAGAACAAGUUGAGAUACCCAUGGCAAGAGAAGCACCGCCACAACCACGAAGGUCGGCAAGGCUCCGCGAAAUGCGUGAAAUAUUAUUGUUGGACAAUGAUGAGCCUGCGACAUAUGCAGAAGCAAUGAUGGACCCAGACUCCGAAAAAUGGCAGAGUGCCAUGCAAUCCGAAAUAGAGUCCAUGGGAGACAAUCAAGUUUGGAACUUUGUUGACCCGCCUGAUGGUGUUAAAACCAUAGAGUGCAAGUGGAUCUAUAAGAAGAAAAAGGACAUGGAUGGAAAUGUUCACAUCUAUAAAGCACGACUUGUCGCAAAAGGUUUUCGACAAGUUCAAGGAGUUGACUACGACGAGACCUUCUCGCCCAUAGUGAUGCUUCAGUCCAUUCGGAUUAUUCUAGCUAUAGCUGCAUAUUUCGAUUAUGAGAUAUGGUAGAUGGAUGUCAAGACAGCUUUUCUGAAUGGAAACCUAGCUGAGGACGUGUAUAUGAUACAGCUCGAUGGGUUUGUCGAUCCAAAAAAUGCUGGAAAGGUAUGCAAGCUUCAGAGAUCCAUUUAUGGAUUGAAGAAAGCAUCUAGGAGUUGGAACAUUCGUUUUGAUGAAGUGGUCAAAGGGUUUGACUUCACCAAGAACGAAGAAGAGUCUUGUGUUUACAAGAAGGUUAGUGGGAGCUCUGUAGUAUUUCUAAUCUUAUAUGUGGAUGACAUAUUGCUGAUUGGAAAUAACAUUCCUAUGCUUGAGUCUGUAAAGACUUCACUGAAAAAUAGUUUUUCGAUGAAGGACUUAGGAGAAGCGGCAUAUAUUCUGGGUAUUAAGAUCUAUAGAAAUAGAUCGAGAAGACUUGUAGGAUUAAGCCAAGAUACUUACAUUGAUAAAGUGUUGAAGCGGUUCAGCAUGGAAAAGGCAAAGAAAGGGUUCUUGCCUACGUCACAUGGCAUACAUCUCAGCAAGACUCAGUGUCCUUCGACUGCUGAUGAGCGGAAUCGCAUGAGUAGAGUGCCAUAUGCCUCGGCUAUUGGAUCUAUCAUGUAUGCAAUGAUAAGUACUCGCCCAGAUAUUUCAUAUGCGCUAAGUAUGACAAGCAGACACCAAUGUGAUCCAGGUGAGAGUCACUGGACAGCGGUGAAAAACAUUCUUAAGUACUUGAGAAGGACUAAAGAUAUGUUCCUCGUCUAUGGAGGUGAGGAGGAGCUCGUUGUAACAGGUUACACCGAUGCUAGUUUCCAAACCGACAGAGAUGAUUCAAAGUCACAAUCAGGAUUUGUGUUCACGCUAAAUGGUGGUGCUGUUAGUUGGAAGAGUUCCAAACAGGAGACGGUGGCCGAUUCUACGACAGAAGCCGAGUACAUCGCGGCUUCGGAAGCCGCGAAGGAGGGUGUUUGGAUAAGGAAUUUCGUUAUUGAGCUUGGUGUGUUCCCAAAUGCGUCCAGCCCAUUAAAUCUCUACUGUGAUAAUAAUGGGGCAAUUGCACAAGCAAAGGAGCCAAGGAACCACCAGAAGAACAAACACGUAAUGCGGCGAUUUCAUCUCAUUCGAGACUUCGUUAACCAGGGUGAGAUCAAGAUAUGCAAAAUACACACGGAUCUGAACAUUUCUGAUCCGUUGACAAAACCACUCCCACAGGCUAAGCAUGAUGCGCAUGUAAGAGCUAUGGGUAUUAGGUACCUUGUAGAUUGACUCUAGUGCAAGUGGGAGACUGUUGGAGGUAUGCCCUUGAGGCAAUCAUAGAGAUGAUGAUAUUCCAUUUGUAUCUAUGAUUUGUAUAUUGUGUUCAUUUAAUAUCCAUUAAAGGCUACUUGAAUUGAUUUGCAAUUAUGUGAAUUGUAUGUGAAACUCUUUACUUGUAUGGUUAUUCUAAAAUUGUCCCUAGUCGGAGUUCAUGUGAGGACACACAUGAAUAUUAGACUAGCACAAGUAUUAGUUGAUGACUAUGUUUCACAAGUCAUGGACAUGGAGAUGUUGAACUAAUAAUGUGGACACAUGUGGAGACAUGUGCUAGGACUGACCCAACACGAGAAGUAGUUCUCUCUUUAAAUAACAUAUACGCUUUGUCCUUAGACCUGAGAUUGUCACAUGUAUUCAAGAUGUGGAUCGACCUACUUAGGGGCUAUCAAACGCUACGCCGUAACAGGGUAGUUAUAAAGGUAGCUUUCGGGUUUAUCAAGAAGCAUGCUAUGAGACAUGGUCAAUCAAGAUGGGAUUUGCCCCUCUCUGAUUGAGUGAUAUCUCUGGGCCACUCGAGUGAUCGGAUCCGAAAAUGCAUGGCCAUGCUACGUACGGUUAAGAGUUAACCUACAAAGGGAUUCCGAAUCACAGAAUCGAGAAAGAACGGUCGGCUUGAAGCUAGACCAAAUAUCGUGAGGCAAAGGGAAUAGCAUGUAUAUUAUAUUGUGAUGGUUCGUCUGAUAUGAUCUUCGUGUGCGUAUAGGAGUUGGCACGUCUUACUAGAGGCCGCUACCGACUAUUGGGCCGAGUAGGAGUACUCGGGCCAUGUCUAUACGUAUCCGAACCCAUAGGGUCACACACUUAAGGGGCUGGAAGCCCAAUUCGGAUCUGAUCCGAGUUGGAUUAGGUUUAGAAGUACUAAUGGGCCUCGGACCCAGAGGCCCGUCAGGAACCUCUAUAAAUAGAGGGGUGGGGGCGCCCUAGGGUUUACACCUUUUGGCAAAACACAUCUGCCGCGCCUCCCACGCCCUCGCCUGUUGCAACUCGCGGAUCUAGCAGUCCGGCUUGCGACGCUUCCUCUCUGCACGUGUGGAUACCUUGGAGGUGUUGCGCCUGCAGCACUUGGACGAGCCGCCGACGAGCCACGACGAGCCGACGACGAGCCGCGGCAUGAGGGCGAUCUUUCUGCACGUGGACGAGCUCUUGAGAAGCUGCUGGACGUUGACGUGAUUGACUACGUACGACUACGUUGAUCGACUACGUACGACUACGUUGAUCGUCUUCACUGCAUCGACGCAAAUCUACAUCUUCCGCACCAGUAGUGCGUCGAGUGGUAAUCCCGUGAUCCUUAUACGGCAGUUCAUCCUGGUUAUACGCGGUAGAAAUUUUGAUUUGCGCUAGUGUAGCCUACCUCGUAUCCCAACAGUUGUCAGCGUGGAGGAAGACGCGCAAAGCAUGGUCCCAGGGGAAGGGUGUGGGGUAGCCGUGGCGAUGGUCGUCAGAUGAGUCUGUCUCAAUCUAGGACUCAGAGUUGGAGUCGAACACAUCAGCUUGAAGGGUCACCUUCAAGAUCAACUUCCGAGGCGGUGACGAGGGCGCGGGGGUGGAGGAAGCCGCCCCCACCAUCGGAGGAGGCUAGGAACACGCCGGGGAACCCCUAGCAGCUUCGCGGCGACCAUCCAUGAGCGACGGCGGGUUGAGGUCGGUGGCGUCAGAUCGUGAUCCCGAUGACAAGCGCGACGGCGGGUUGAGGUCCACGUCAACGUGGCGCUGUAGCGCUGCUGAGAAGUUGUUGCGGCCGGGGGCAAGGCGGGAGCGUGACAAGAAACCGCCACGAGAGCGCGACGACUAGGAGGCACCGGAGGAUUACUCAAUGUGCGCGGGGAGCUGGUAGGGGAGAGGCGUGCGACGGGGAGCAAGAGGAGGCGGGAGCCGAGGGGCAGACAGAUCGCUUCAUGGCGUCGGCCGGGCUGCAGGGGUAAGGCGCACGCAUCGGGGACAAGAUGGUAAUGGAACUGGCGACGACGUCGAUGGUGGGGGAAAUGGUGAUAAAAUAAGGAGUUCCUCGCCUUCCAUGGGAAGUUGCACCAGCUUCCCUAGGAAGCUAGGCAAGGCAACCGGUUCCUCGAAGAACGCGCGGGAACAGGAACCGGUACGGUAACCGCCGGAGGCUGUGGCAUCGAAUAAUCGAUUUAGAUCGUCGAUGUGCAGAUGAACGGCUACGACAAGUAGGCAACGCCUGCCUCGGUGGCACGUUUUCAUUUCUAUAAAGAACUAUAAAAGACAAUUCCUACACAAGCGUGCAGUUAGUCUGGUGGUAUGGGUUGCCCACCACAAACAUGUGGUCUCAAGUUCGACUCCUAAGGAGUCGCUUUUUUCUUGCCAUAUUUUUAUCAAUUUUUCACAAGAGUAUUCCUAGAGUAAACACACAAACAACUUCAUAAACAACUUUUUUUUACAAGUGCCUCGAGACACAUUGACAAAUUCAGACAAAAUCUAGAUGGUUGACCAUACAUAGGAACAUCACAAAUACAGAUAAAGGAAACUACGUUAAGAUUGUUCACCGCAGCUACGAACUUCACCAUCUACUUAAUUAGCCUUGCCACGAAGCAUCAAUCCCGCGACAACCACAAAUAAAGCAAGCAUCAUGUGCGCGAGUUUGACAUUAUGCCUAUAAUUCCCAAUGAACUUCAGCUCGGCAGUAGCCUUCUAAAGUUGUUACCACACCGUCUUGAUCUAAUUCCUAAUCGCUCUAAGCUCCCUGUUAGCUUUUGCCAAUUCUUCCUCUCAAUUCUUUGCAUCCUCCUCAGCUUGCACCUUCUUCUUCAUGAGCUUCACCAGAACACCAAAGGCCCUAUCAUCCCAUUCUAGAUCAACCCAGGUCAUGUAACCGUAUUGCUUCUUUUCAUCCUACAAAUUAAACGUCCCUUUACAAAUUGUCGUUGGCAAUAAUAACAUGAAACCACGGAACCAAAAUCUCUGUGAAGCAGGUAGCCAUUACCUUUGGGCAGCAAGCAAACCGACAGCCAGGGUUGAGAAAGGUCCAAGAAUACUUCACCACAGCACGUAACAUGAAUUUAAUUGGUAAUAUUACAGACUCCUUGUCAAAGUUGACCCAACUUAGACUACUCGACGUAUCAUCCAACAAACUGAGUGGGAAAAUUCCUAGUUGGGUUUGGAGUUUGAAGAAUCUAGAAAUGCUCUAUCUUUAUGAUAACUCUUUCCAUGGUCAAAUAAGUGGGACCGUUGGAGCAAGAAAUUUGGUCAAGAUCUGCAUUUCAACCAACCUUCUGACAGGACAGAUACCAGAGGAUUUCGGUAAGCUAAAGAAUCUGACCAUACUUUCCUUGUACAACAACCAACUCUCUGGCUCAAUUCCAAAUAGUAUCACUCUUCUCCCAAUGCUCCAAGAUGUGCAGCUUUCAGACAAUGCUCUGUCUGGUGUUCUACCCAAGGAGCUAGGAGCACACUCAAUGAUUUCCAGUUUAAACAUAGCAUAUAACAAUUUAUCAGGGGAGCUACCUGAGAGAAUUUGUACACACGAGGCCCUUCAAAACAUUGAUUUGUCCAGUAACAGUUUGUCUGGUGAUAUUCCAGCAUCUCUCACAACUUGCAGCAGUUUGUAUUACCAUAUUAUUGCCCAAUAACAAAUUUACAGGUAGAUUUCCACCUGGCAUAUGGUUGCUGCCGAAGCUCACCAUCGUCAAGGUUCAUGAUAAUGCUUUCACUGGCUCGCUGCCGAGUGGAUUAGGUCCAAGUGUUGCAACAAUUGAUAUCAGCAACAAUAGAUUCUCUGGCAGAUUACCAGCAACUGGUACCAAUCUAUCUUACUUAAGCACAACAAACAAUUUGAUCUCUGGUGAAAUCCCAACAAACCUCAUUGAUCAUGCACCACUGCAGGUCCUGAUUCUCUCUCAAAACAUGCUAUCAGGGUUGCUACCUUCAAGGAUCUGGCACAAAGUGUCCCUCAGAGAGCUUGACCUUAGCAAGAACUACCUCUCUGGGGAGAUCCCAGACACGGUUGGGGAGACGACGUGCAUCUAUAAAAUAGAUCUAUCUGAGAACAAUCUAUAUGGUCCAAUACCAUCAGAACUGGCACAACUGAACCCAGGCUUCCUCAAUCUCUCCAGUAACCAACUGAGCGGCCAGAUUCCACUUCCUUGCCAGAAGGAAGGUGAAGGAUUUAUUUACAGCUUUCUAUCCAAUCCUGCUCUGUGUUCCUCAAACCAUGUUGGAAACUUUCCUGAGUGUGUUAGAGAAAAUAAGCACUCGAGGAGAUCAGUAACCAUUUUCGUGGUCCUUGGUACAACCAUUCUCAUGUGCACAGGGCUGUAUCGUUUUAAUAAGAUUAGAACAUUCCUCACAAAGAAAAAAGAUAGUGAUCAAUCUCCACAGUGGAAGCUGACAACCUUCCACAGCAUUAAUUUCAAUGCUCAAGACAUUCUUUAUGGAGUCACACAUGGAAACCUUGUUGGCAGUGGCGGCUCAGGCAAGGUAUAUAGGAUAAGCCUAGUUAACAGCAACGGGAAGAUAGCUGUCAAUAAAAUAUGCAAUGGCCUAAGGAAGGAUGAUAUGCUGGAAAAACAGUUUCAAGCUGAAAUUGAGACUCUUGAAUCCAUCCGGCAUGCCAACAUUGUCAAGCUUCUCAGGUGUAUAUCAAGCUCAGAGUCAAAGCUCCUGAUUUAUGAAUACAUGGAACAUGGUAGCCUAUAUGAUUGUUUGCAUAAGAAAAACCUGACUAGUACAACUGAACUGUUAAAUUGGCCAGAGAGGAUAUCAAUAGCAAUUGAUGCAGCUAGAGGCCUGAGCUACAUGCACCAUGAUUGCUCUCCACCUAUAGCACAUCAAGAUGUCAAGUCCAGCAAUAUCUUGUUGGAUCUUGAGUUCAAAGCAAAAAUUGCAGACUUUGGGCUGGCCCGUGCACUUGUUAAAUCUGGCGAGCCAGAGUCGAUCUCAACAAUGGUUGGAUCAUUUGGAUAUAUGGCUCCAGGUAAGUACUUCGUAUAUCUUUUUUUUUUCUCUUAUUACCCUGUGGUAUUGUUGUAUGACAGACUAAUCCCACUGUUUGCUAGAGUUUGGAAGCAUACGAAAAAUGAACGAGAAAGUUGAUGUCUACAGAUUCGGGGUGGUUCCCUUGGAGCUCACAACUGGGAGACGUGCAACUGGUGAGGGUGGUGGGCAUGAGAAUUUAGCACAAUGGGCUUGGUGGAAAUUUCAAGAAGAGGGCUUUCAGUUAAUAAAUAUAAUCGAUGAAAAAAUACGAGAAGCACCCUACUUCCAUGAGGUUCAACUUGUAUUCAAGCUAGGACUAAUUUGAACAGGAACAAAACCAUCAUUAAGGCCGACGAUGAAGGAGGUCUUGAGGGUGCUACAGCGCUAAAUGGAGUAUGUCAGUCAUAAAUCAUCCCAAGUGGCGCGGACUGGAACGUUUGUUGAAUCCUAGAGACCAAGACAAAUUCCAGGAAAGGAAAAUAAAUGGCCCAUGUAUCACAAACAUGUAUCUUAGGGAUAUUUAUUAUGUAAUUACCAUGCAUAAAAUUCUAUCAUACAGUUUACUCUAUUUGAUAACUGAAUCACCAGCUUUUGAUAUAUCCUUAUAAGUUCAUAGCUUGUCGGUCAUGCAGGCGCAAUUUACUGGCUAUUAUAACUUUAUAAGUUCCAACCAGGCUAUAGGCAACACCACUUCACCACGCUAGGUUAGUACACUAAAAAUAGCAAUUCCUUAAAGUAGUAGUUUCAACUGCGAGCACAAGCAAACGAUAUCUGCCGCAAAGUGAUAGCAUGUGGAAUUAGUAGCAAGAGUGGGUUGAAGCAUUCCGAUGAUCUCCACAACCAAGUCGAAGAAACAGGAGUGGGUCAUUUGGGCCUUGUGGAGCUGAACUAAUCUUAUUUAGUGCCGCCGCUAGCAUUGCUCCACUUUUGGCUGAAACAAAGGCAUGGAGGCACUAGAAAUUCGAUCCGGCACUCUCUUCCUAAGCGCAUUCGAUGCCAGAUCGGCAUCCUAAUCAAAGCGCUCUUACCGCAACUGCAGCGCGCUCAUCGACCAAUAUGUAUUUUUUUUAGAGUUAUUGAGCAGUAUGCAUCAAUCCAGGAUUGAAGUUGACGUCUCAAUUAAACCAGAGGCGCUAGGCUUAUAGUAAAGUACCUUUGAGUUAUCCUCAGCUAAGGAGGUGAGGGGGCAGCGAGACGCCCCGGUGCGGAGGCGGCGCCUCAACCGUUCGACGAGGGAGGCGUCGUGGCUGGAACAAAAACACCUCGGGCGCACGACGGCGCGGGGAUGCGGGCCGACGACCGAGGGGGCCAUCGGGUCCAUGGUAGCACGCCGCCCGCCGCCGCCGCGGCAACGCUUCGGCGGCGUUCGGCCGAUGAGGCGAAUAAGCCACCGAUGGGAUUUCGGGAUGUAAC
rnacentral:lncRNA from 1 species